CAUGUGUAGUGGGUAGUAUCGCGACUUAUUUCCCCGAGGAGGCAUUUCUCGUACACACCGGGCCCCAGCCGUGGAGGGAGGGGGCUGCUGUGUUAUUUUUGUGUUUUUUGAAGCGAAUUAUCCUGUUGCCGAGGGAGCCAUGCAUCUGGAAACGGCUGGGGAAGGAGACGGUGGCUGAGUGGUUAGCGUGCCGGUCCUGCGUUCGCUGCGUCAUAGAUGAUGAGGGUUUGAAUCCACCGCUGCCACAGACUACUUGUCCUGAAGACCACCACCAUCAUCCUGGACUGUAUGGGACUGUCCAAGGGAAAGCUAGAUGGGGCCGCUAUAAACACUUGCCGGCUUGGGCCCACCACCAGGCCCAGCCAAGGGAGGUUGGUGUUGUAGCGGCAGCCUAGGCCGCUACAGCGAAAACCAAACAUUACUGUUUGUAUGUUUUCGAGGCAGCAUACGUUGUAGCUGGUACAACGCCGUUUGGAUCCGCUAAGGCCGCCUUGUAGGUUAAAAGACACAACUAAUAACCAGUGGUGACUCCAUUGAGGAAGACAUUUAUUUUGAGGCUAUACAUGUAUUUGAAUAUUAUGAAUGAAUAUUUAUAAUGGUUGAUAUACAGUAGCGUUUAUAAUAUUAGCUCUUUGGUGAUGUUAGUUGCACAUAAUGUCGCUUAUAAUAAUAAGAAUGAUUAUAUACAUUUAUAAUAUGUAGUGACUCGUAAGAAAAGAAAUUAAUGUGUGAUGAAUAUGUGUAAUAGAUGAAAUGGAAUGGUGUGUGUUGAAAGUGAGAGAAAAGAAAGAGAGCGUGAUGAGUUAAGGGUAGACUGAAGAAAUGGAAGAUGGAGAGAACGGGAUGAGCAAUAGAAAAUGGAGAGACUUAGAGGGUCACUACAUAACUCCCCCCCUAGUGACGAGGGAGGAGGAACGUUACAUGUCUCUUGCGGCACUGGAUUUUGUCGGUCAGUACUGGUCUGGGGGACACUAACACGGUGUUGGUGGGUGGAGGAUCUGGCUGCAGGAGGUACGCGGGCUUGACCCGGUCGAUGGCGAUGACAUCGGAUUUUCCGUGGCGGUCAAUGGUGACGUGUUUACGCGUCCUCCUGGUGACAGCGAACGGGCCAUCAUAUGGCUGUUGUAGGGGCUUCUUUACGGCGUCCACCCGUACGAACACGUGUGUGCAGGUGUCGAGGUCCUGGCUCACGAACGUCUUGGAGG